rnacentral:rRNA from 1 species
CUCCAGCUUGCUGGGGUGCUCGAGUGGCGAACGGGUGAGUAACACGUAAGUGAUCUGCCCUGCACUGGGGGAUAAGCUUGGGAAACUGGGUCUAAUACCCUAUAGGACCGCAUCGUGGUUGGUGUGGUGGAAAGGUUUUUCUGGUGUGGGAUGAGCUUGCGGCCUAUCAGCUUGUUGGUGGGGUAAUGGCCUACCAAGGCGGCGACGGGUAGCCGGCCUGAGAGGGUGUGCGGCCACAUUGGGACUGAGAUACGGCCCAGACUCCUACGGGAGGCAGCAGUGGGGAAUUUUGCACAAUGGGCGGAAGCCUGAUGCAGCGACGCCGUGUGGGGGAUGAAGGCCUUCGGGUUGUAAACUCCUUUCGUCAGGGACGAAGUUUUUUUGACGGUACCUGGAUAAGAAGCACCGGCUAACUACGUGCCAGCAGCCGCGGUAAUACGUAGGGUGCGAGCGUUGUCCGGAUUUACUGGGCGUAAAGGGCUCGUAGGUGGUGUGUCGCGUCGUCUGUGUAAUCCAGGGGCUUAACUUUUGGUUGGCAGGCGAUACGGGCAUUGCUUGAGUGCUGUAGGGGAGACUGGAAUUCCUGGUGUAGCGGUGAAAUGCGCAGAUAUCAGGAGGAACACCGAUGGCGAAGGCAGGUCUCUGGGCAGUUACUGACGCUGAGGAGCGAGAGCAUGGGUAGCGAACAGGAUUAGAUACCCUGGUAGUCUAUGCUGUAAACGGUGGGCGCUAGGUGUGAGUCCCUUCCACGGGGUUUGUGCCGUAGCUAACGCUUUAAGCGCCCCGCCUGGGGAGUACGGCCGCAAGGCUAAAACUCAAAGGAAUUGACGGGGGCCCGCACAAGCGGCGGAGCAUGUGGAUUAAUUCGAUGCAACGCGAAGAACCUUACCUGGGCUUGACAUAUGUGAGAUUGGGCUAGAGAUAGUUCGUCCCUUGUGGCUCAUUUACAGGUGGUGCAUGGUUGUCGUCAGCUCGUGUCGUGAGAUGUUGGGUUAAGUCCCGCAACGAGCGCAACCCUUGUCUUAUGUUGCCAGCACGUUGUGGUGGGGACUCGUGAGAGACUGCCGGGGUUAAC